rnacentral:rRNA from 1 species
AAGCGGCAUGGUCAAUAUAACCAGUAGUGUUACCAGUCGGGAGAGGAGUGGCAUUAACACCAUCCUUCAUGAACUUAAUCCACUGUUCACCAUAAACGUGACGAUGAGGGACAUAAAAAGUAAAAAUGUCUACAGUAGAGUCAAUAGCAAGGCCACGACGCAAUGGAGAAAGACGGAGAGCGCCAACGGCGUCCAUCUCGAAGGAGUCGCCAGCG